rnacentral:tRNA from 1 species
UCUCUGGUAGCUCAAUUGGAAGAGCAGUGAACAAACAUUCAUAUCGUUGGAGGUUCAACUCCUCCCCAGAGAA